GGGUUGUGAGGUUAAGCGACUAAGCGUACACGGUGGAUGCCCUGGCAGUCAGAGGCGAUGAAGGACGUGCUAAUCUGCGAUAAGCGUCGGUAAGGUGAUAUGAACCGUUAUAACCGGCGAUUUCCGAAUGGGGAAACCCAGUGUGAUUCGUCACACUAUCAUUAACUGAAUCCAUAGGUUAAUGAGGCGAACCGGGGGAACUGAAACAUCUAAGUACCCCGAGGAAAAGAAAUCAACCGAGAUUCCCCCAGUAGCGGCGAGCGAACGGGGAGCAGCCCAGAGCCUGAAUCAGUGUGUGUGUUAGUGGAAGCGUCUGGAAAGGCGCGCGAUACAGGGUGACAGCCCCGUACACAAAAAUGCACAUGCUGUGAGCUCGAUGAGUAGGGCGGGACACGUGGUAUCCUGUCUGAAUAUGGGGGGACCAUCCUCCAAGGCUAAAUACUCCUGACUGACCGAUAGUGAACCAGUACCGUGAGGGAAAGGCGAAAAGAACCCCGGCGAGGGGAGUGAAAAAGAACCUGAAACCGUGUACGUACAAGCAGUGGGAGCACGCUUAGGCGUGUGACUGCGUACCUUUUGUAUAAUGGGUCAGCGACUUAUAUUCUGUAGCAAGGUUAACCGAAUAGGGGAGCCGAAGGGAAACCGAGUCUUAACUGGGCGUUAAGUUGCAGGGUAUAGACCCGAAACCCGGUGAUCUAGCCAUGGGCAGGUUGAAGGUUGGGUAACACUAACUGGAGGACCGAACCGACUAAUGUUGAAAAAUUAGCGGAUGACUUGUGGCUGGGGGUGAAAGGCCAAUCAAACCGGGAGAUAGCUGGUUCUCCCCGAAAGCUAUUUAGGUAGCGCCUCGUGAAUUCAUCUCCGGGGGUAGAGCACUGUUUCGGCAAGGGGGUCAUCCCGACUUACCAACCCGAUGCAAACUGCGAAUACCGGAGAAUGUUAUCACGGGAGACACACGGCGGGUGCUAACGUCCGUCGUGAAGAGGGAAACAACCCAGACCGCCAGCUAAGGUCCCAAAGUCAUGGUUAAGUGGGAAACGAUGUGGGAAGGCCCAGACAGCCAGGAUGUUGGCUUAGAAGCAGCCAUCAUUUAAAGAAAGCGUAAUAGCUCACUGGUCGAGUCGGCCUGCGCGGAAGAUGUAACGGGGCUAAACCAUGCACCGAAGCUGCGGCAGCGACGCUGAUGCGUUGUUGGGUAGGGGAGCGUUCUGUAAGCCUGCGAAGGUGUGCUGUGAGGCAUGCUGGAGGUAUCAGAAGUGCGAAUGCUGACAUAAGUAACGAUAAAGCGGGUGAAAAGCCCGCUCGCCGGAAGACCAAGGGUUCCUGUCCAACGUUAAUCGGGGCAGGGUGAGUCGACCCCUAAGGCGAGGCCGAAAGGCGUAGUCGAUGGGAAACAGGUUAAUAUUCCUGUACUUGGUGUUACUGCGAAGGGGGGACGGAGAAGGCUAUGUUGGCCGGGCGACGGUUGUCCCGGUUUAAGCGUGUAGGCUGGUUUUCCAGGCAAAUCCGGAAAAUCAAGGCUGAGGCGUGAUGACGAGGCACUACGGUGCUGAAGCAACAAAUGCCCUGCUUCCAGGAAAAGCCUCUAAGCAUCAGGUAACAUCAAAUCGUACCCCAAACCGACACAGGUGGUCAGGUAGAGAAUACCAAGGCGCUUGAGAGAACUCGGGUGAAGGAACUAGGCAAAAUGGUGCCGUAACUUCGGGAGAAGGCACGCUGAUAUGUAGGUGAAGUCCCUCGCGGAUGGAGCUGAAAUCAGUCGAAGAUACCAGCUGGCUGCAACUGUUUAUUAAAAACACAGCACUGUGCAAACACGAAAGUGGACGUAUACGGUGUGACGCCUGCCCGGUGCCGGAAGGUUAAUUGAUGGGGUCAGCGCAAGCGAAGCUCUUGAUCGAAGCCCCGGUAAACGGCGGCCGUAACUAUAACGGUCCUAAGGUAGCGAAAUUCCUUGUCGGGUAAGUUCCGACCUGCACGAAUGGCGUAAUGAUGGCCAGGCUGUCUCCACCCGAGACUCAGUGAAAUUGAACUCGCUGUGAAGAUGCAGUGUACCCGCGGCAAGACGGAAAGACCCCGUGAACCUUUACUAUAGCUUGACACUGAACAUUGAGCCUUGAUGUGUAGGAUAGGUGGGAGGCUUUGAAGUGUGGACGCCAGUCUGCAUGGAGCCGACCUUGAAAUACCACCCUUUAAUGUUUGAUGUUCUAACGUUGACCCGUGAUCCGGGUUGCGGACAGUGUCUGGUGGGUAGUUUGACUGGGGCGGUCUCCUCCUAAAGAGUAACGGAGGAGCACGAAGGUUGGCUAAUCCUGGUCGGACAUCAGGAGGUUAGUGCAAUGGCAUAAGCCAGCUUGACUGCGAGCGUGACGGCGCGAGCAGGUGCGAAAGCAGGUCAUAGUGAUCCGGUGGUUCUGAAUGGAAGGGCCAUCGCUCAACGGAUAAAAGGUACUCCGGGGAUAACAGGCUGAUACCGCCCAAGAGUUCAUAUCGACGGCGGUGUUUGGCACCUCGAUGUCGGCUCAUCACAUCCUGGGGCUGAAGUAGGUCCCAAGGGUAUGGCUGUUCGCCAUUUAAAGUGGUACGCGAGCUGGGUUUAGAACGUCGUGAGACAGUUCGGUCCCUAUCUGCCGUGGGCGCUGGAGAACUGAGGGGGGCUGCUCCUAGUACGAGAGGACCGGAGUGGACGCAUCACUGGUGUUCGGGUUGUCAUGCCAAUGGCACUGCCCGGUAGCUAAAUGCGGAAGAGAUAAGUGCUGAAAGCAUCUAAGCACGAAACUUGCCCCGAGAUGAGUUCUCCCUGACCCUUUAAGGGUCCUGAAGGAACGUUGAAGACGACGACGUUGAUAGGCCGGGUGUGUAAGCGCAGCGAUGCGUUGAGCUAACCGGUACUAAUGAACCGUGAGGCUUAACCUUACAACGCCGAAGCUGUU
rnacentral:rRNA from 1 species